UCUCUCUGGGCCAGGCCCCCUGUUUACAGUCCUAUAGGCAAUAGAAGGAGAGGUCACAGUUUUUCUUCAGUCUGCUGGGCCUCAAUUACCUUCCGCUCAGAAUAACCCACGGGCCCACGUGGCACAUUUUGUGGUCAUGUGUUCUGCUUCCCCUCAAGGACACAUGCUACACUGUAACUCAGCUCUUUUCUUAUUUUUGGACAUUUCAGUCAUUUCUGUUUCUCCGUGUUUUGCUUUACUAGUCAACUUACUAUUACAAGUGACGGUGAACAUCGCUGCGUGUGUGGCUGUGGCUGCCACGCUGUGCCACUGACCAUGCCGCACGUGUCUGUGGGUGUGCCCGCUUCAUCCCGGCCCCAGUGUCAGCCCUCACUGCUCACAAAGACUGGCGCUUACACCGAACGGCGUCCCCAGCUUCGUCUCUGUAAUUAUUAGAAUUGGCUCACCCAUGGGCGAUUUUUGUAGCCUUUGCUUGGCUAUCUGUAGUCUUGUUGUUUUUAUAGAUCUGAAUGAUCCUUUAGAUAGCCUUUUAUUACGUCCUGUUAAUUCUUUGUCAGACACAUUUUGAAAACCAUGCUAUUUUCAUUCUUGGUGCAGGUCUCCUCCCGGUGUCCUGGCUUUCACAUUUUCUCUUUGCUAUUGUCAUUCAGACAUUUGGAGACCGUCUCUAUUCAACUCAGCGAACCUUUGUCAGCACGUCUGUUUCUGUCGCCUGUGAAAUGAGCGACUCAUUCUCAGCUCUGAUAACUGUUCUAUUUCCUGUUCUGCUAGUUUAUCUAAAACGUGAACGCCGGUUUGACACAUGACAUCCGCUCCUCCUCAAGGGGAGAACUUCGGCUGGAUGACUGCAAACGAAUUCACGGAACUUGUCUCUCUCACGUCCUUCCUACCUGCGGCCCCCUGACGGCCCCUCUGACGGCCCCUCUGAGGCCUGCUUGCCCAGCUAUCAUCACAGCUGCCGUCAGUGAGCUGAGAACGGACCCACACUGUUAUCAGAGGGGAGCAGGUGCCCGCGCCCCCACCCCGGCUCCUGGUCACAGCCAGUGGCGGAAGAAAGUCAGGGCUGGGAAAGGCCGGGCCCUCCCUCAUCUCGGAGGCCAGGGCGGGGAGCCAGGCCCUGUGCGUGCCGGCCCGGGCUGGGCUCGAAGCUUCCUGACCACGGCUCAGGCGCAUGGGGGCAGCGUCACCCCGGGCAGGCUUGGGGGGCCUGAGACAGCCCACCAGCCUUACGGAGGCCCCACCCUGCUAAGGAGGAUCGGGGGCUGUCUGCACAGGGACCCACCUGGUUCCCUCGGGGAGUUUGGCUGAGUUGCUCUGCGUCAGGCCCAGGGCAGGCCCCUGUGCCGUGUAUCCAGCCGGGUGGGGGCCCCAUGCCCUGUGCCCCUGGAGGGCCCGGAUUCACAGCUGAGA